rnacentral:rRNA from 1 species
CCUACGGGGGACAGCAGUGAGGAAUAUUGGUCAAUGGACGAGAGUCUGAACCAGCCAAGUAGCGUGAAGGAUGACUGCCCUAUGGGUUGUAAACUUCUUUUAUAUGGGAAUAAAAUGUUCCACGUGUGGGAUUUUGUAUGUACCAUAUGAAUAAGGAUCGGCUAACUCCGUGCCAGCAGCCGCGGUAAUACGGAGGAUCCGAGCGUUAUCCGGAUUUAUUGGGUUUAAAGGGAGCGUAGGUGGAUUGUUAAGUCAGUUGUGAAAGUUUGCGGCUCAACCGUAAAAGUGCAGUUGAAACUGGCAGGCUUGAGUACAGUAGAGGUGGGCGGAAUGCGUGGUGUAGCGGUGAAAUGCUUAGAUAUCACGAAGAACUCCGAUUGCGAAGGCAGCUCACUGGACUGCAACUGACACUGAGGCUCGAAAGUGUGGGUAUCAAACAGGAUUAGAUACCCCGGUAGUC